AUCGCCUGAAGAGGGGUUUGCGUCUGAUUAGGCAGUUGGUGAGGUAACGGCCCACCAAACCUACGAUCAGUAGCCGGUCUGAAGGAUGAACGGCCACAUUGGGACUGAGACACGGCCCAAACUCCUACGGGAGGCAGCAGUGGGGAAUAUUGCACAAUGGGGGAAACCCUGAUGCAGCGACGCCGCGUGAGUGAAGAAGUAUUUCGGUAUGUAAAGCUCUAUCAGCAGGGAAGGAAGGACGGUACCUGAAUAAGAAGCCCCGGCUAACUACGUGCCAGCAGCCGCGGUAAUACGUAGGGGGCAAGCGUUAUCCGGAUUUACUGGGUGUAAAGGGAGCGUAGACGGCAAGGCAAGUCUGAAGUGAAAGCCCGGUGCUUAACGCCGGGACUGCUUUGGAAACUGUUUGGCUGGAGUGCCGGAGAGGUAAGCGGAAUUCCUAGUGUAGCGGUGAAAUGCGUAG
rnacentral:rRNA from 1 species